UAAGCGGAGGAAAAGAAACCAACAGGGAUUGCCUUAGUAGCGGCGAGUGAAGCGGCAAAAGCUCAAAUUUGAAAUCUGGCACUUUCAGUGUCCGAGUUGUAAUUUGAAGAAGGUAUCUUUGGGUCUGGCUCUUGUCUAUGUUUCUUGGAACAGAACGUCACAGAGGGUGAGAAUCCCGUGCGAUGAGAUGUCCCAGACCUAUGUAAAGUUCCUUCGAAGAGUCGAGUUGUUUGGGAAUGCAGCUCUAAGUGGGUGGUAAAUUCCAUCUAAAGCUAAAUAUUGGCGAGAGACCGAUAGCGAACAAGUACAGUGAUGGAAAGAUGAAAAGAACUUUGAAAAGAGAGUGAAAAAGUACGUGAAAUUGUUGAAAGGGAAGGGCUUGAGAUCAGACUUGGUAUUUUGUAUGUUACUCUCUCGGGGGUGGCCUCUACAGUUUACCGGGCCAGCAUCAGUUUGAGCGGUAGGAUAAGUGCAAAGAAAUGUGGCACUGCUUCGGUAGUGUGUUAUAGUCUUUGUCGAUACUGCCAGCUUAGACUGAGGACUGCGGCUUCGGCCUAGGAUGUUGGCAUAAUGAUCUUAAGUCGCCCGUCUUG
rnacentral:rRNA from 1 species